UAAACAGUUUGUAUGGAGCAGAACCAUGUGUGUACAGCAAUAUGAUUUCUUCAUAUCUGCUGAAGAGGAACUGCAAUAGUAUUUGGUGGAAAGUGGGCAAUCGAGACUCAAAUUAUAAUGGGUUCUCUGAUAAUCAUUUUCCCAACAUUU